AGAGUUUGAUCCUGGCUCAGAACGAACGCUGGCGGCGUGCUUAACACAUGCAAGUCGAACGAGAAAUUUCUCCUUCGGGGAAAAGAGUAAAGUGGCGCACGGGUGAGUAACGCGUAGAUAAUCUACCCUGGUGUCUGGGAUAACAUCGCGAAAGCGUUGCUAAUACCUGAUACGCUCCUUCGGGAGGAAAGAUGGCCUCUGCUUGCAAGCUAUCGCAUUGGGAUGAGUCUGCGUACCAUUAGCUAGUUGGUAGGGUAAAGGCCUACCAAGGCAACGAUGGUUAGCGGGUCUGAGAGGAUGAUCCGCCACACUGGAACUGGAACACGGACCAGACUCCUACGGGAGGCAGCAGUGAGGAAUUUUGCGCAAUGGGGGAAACCCUGACGCAGCGACGCCGCGUGGGUGAUGAAGGCUUUCGAGUCGUAAAGCCCUGUCAAGUGGGAAGAAGUGUGCAUAUGCUAAUACCGUAUGCAUUUGACGGUACCACUAAAGGAAGCGCCGGCUAACUCCGUGCCAGCAGCCGCGGUAAUACGGAGGGUGCAAGCGUUGUUCGGAAUUACUGGGCGUAAAGGGCGCGUAGGCGGCGUAACAAGUCAGGUGUGAAAGUCCAGGGCUUAACCCUGGAAGUGCAUCUGAAACUGUUAUGCUUGAGUAUCGGAGAGGAAAGUGGAAUUCCCGGUGUAGAGGUGAAAUUCGUAGAUAUCGGGAGGAACACCUGAAGCGAAGGCGACUUUCUGGACGAAUACUGACGCUGAGGCGCGAAAGCGUGGGGAGCAAACAGGAUUAGAUACCCUGGUAGUCCACAGCUGUAAACGAUGUGCACUAGAUGUCGGGGGAGUUGACCCCUUCGGUGUCGGAGCUAACGCAUUAAGUGCACCGCCUGGGGAGUACGGUCGCAAGAUUAAAACUCAAAGGAAUUGACGGG
rnacentral:rRNA from 1 species